rnacentral:rRNA from 1 species
AUUGAACGCUGGCGGAAUGCUUUACACAUGCAAGUCGAACGGCAGCACGGACUUCGGUCUGGUGGCGAGUGGCGAACGGGUGAGUAAUACAUCGGAACGUGCCCAGUCGUGGGGGAUAACGUAGCGAAAGCUACGCUAAUACCGCAUACGAUCUAAGGAUGAAAGCGGGGGACAGUAAGGCCUCGCGCGAUAGGAGCGGCCGAGGGCAGCAUAGGUAGUUGGUGGGGUAAAGGCUCACCAAGCCCACGAUCUGUAGCUGGUCUGAGAGGACGACCAGCCACACUGGGACUGAGACACGGCCCAGACUCCUACGGGAGGCAGCAGUGGGGAAUAUUGGACAAUGGGGGGAACCCUGAUCCAGCAAUGCCGCGUGUGUGAAGAAGGCCUGAGGGUUGUAAAGCACUUUUGUAGAGGAGGAUGGUGAGCUAGGUUAAGAGCUAGGUUCAUUGACGUUACUCUAAGAAUAAGCACCGGCUAACUCCGUGCCAGCAGCCGCCGUAA